GAGGAAUAUUGGUCAAUGGGCGCAAGCCUGAACCAGCCAUCCCGCGUGAAGGAUGAAGGUCCUAUGGAUUGUAAACUUCUUUUGUGCACCAAGAAUGGGCCUUACGUGUAAGGUUUUGACGGUAGUGCACGAAUAAGCAUCGGCUAACUCCGUGCCAGCAGCCGCGGUAAUACGGAGGAUGCAAGCGUUAUCCGGAUUCAUUGGGUUUAAAGGGUACGUAGGCGGCCUGUUAAGUCAGUGGUGAAAGUUUGCGGCUUAACCGUAAAAUUGCCAUUGAUACUGAUAGGCUUGAGUACAGUUGAGGUAGGCGGAAUGUGUAGUGUAGCGGUGAAAUGCUUAGAUAUUACACAGAACUCCGAUUGCGAAGGCAGCUUACUAAACUGAGACUGACGCUGAGGUACGAAAGCGUGGGUAGCGAAC
rnacentral:rRNA from 1 species